rnacentral:misc_RNA from 1 species
CUUGUCCCUCUCUCACGCUGACCCAUCGGAGAAGAAGAGACUAGAACCCUUGCAACUUUCCAGUAUAUAUACCCUACAAGUAUUGCGUGUGUAAUCAACUUGAAAAUUUCCUAGGUCAUCUAACAAAGCAAUUUCUCCUCUUUCGUGUGUUUUCUCUUGCGCUCUCGCAUUCUCUUGCGCCUGUGUCGAGGCUUGUGUGUUGGUGUGGAGCAGUGUUGAGGAGGGCGGACGUGCAGAUGGCUGAUGCUGAGACCUUCGCCUUCCAGGCUGAGAUUAACCAGCUUUUGAGCUUGAUCAUCAAUACUUUCUACAGCAACAAGGAGAU